UUUUAGCCCUGAUGGAAGUGGCAUCCUUUUAUUGUCGAGUUUUUUAACGAGACAAUAAAAGAUACAACGGACAGCAGGAAUAGCU
rnacentral:sRNA from 1 species